UAAAUAGUAAAAUCAUCAUCCUCUUUGCCGUGUGCCUUCAAUUGAAUUCCGAAUACACAAAACAAAGAGAUGCCGUCAAUCCUCAACAUCUGUUGGUAAUCCAUCUGACUCAUUGCCUCUCUGACACUCAUACUUGUCAUCCUCUUUUACCCAAUCUCACUAAAAGCAAAUACCCUAGAAAACCCUCAAUCCUAUUAUUCCCAAACGAAAUUAAGAGAAACGAUUGAGAGAUCUAGUGUCAAAUAUAGGACAACAAAUGUGAUCAGAAGUUUUUUUUGUGAACCUUUUGGCUUUAAUUGUGAUCUGGCCUAAUUCUUUAGUUCAAGUUGGUAGUUCUUGUUUGACUGAGUUCAUCGAGGCUGACUAUUUGAAGACAAGCUUUUAUAAUAUCUUCUUAGGUUCUUUUUCCUGUUUUCCCCUUCAUCUGCCACAGCACAAUGAGAGAUUCGGCCUAAUUCUUUAGUUCAAUUGGCCUUACAAUUCAGGCUUUGGUUGCUAGUGCUGGUGGAGUUGGAAUACUAAUGGAAUUUCUUGACAUAGCUCUGUAAAGUUGAGAAUGAGAGGGAUUUUGAUUAUUGGGAAGCAAAACAUGCAAGUCAAAGAAAAUUGGGAGGACUAAAGAGAAUGAAACUUGCAAAUUUUGGCAGAGCUAAAGAGAGAAUGGGGAGAUGCAGUCUCCCAAUUAAACAGAAUGAAGCUUUCAGAGUUAAAUAGAGAAUGAAACAAGAAGUUUGCAAGAUUAGGAAGGUGCCGUCUACCAUCUAUAUGCCAAGUGAUAGAGUAAAAAUCACCCCAAAGCGUAUCACAAGAUACUCUGCCAGUCUCAUUCUACUCAUCUACUGUCAAGAAUAGAGGCCAGACAUUCAACCAUAUGUUAAAGAUUUCAUACCAAUUGUUUUACUUUUAUGAAUAUUUUCUAUGGCUUUGAAUUCUAUUAUUGUACUUUAUCAUCUUUUACAGUAGGAGUGAUGUAAAGAUUUGAUGUUAUGAUUAUUUUGUAGAUUCUCAGCUCUUUCAUGAA